GUGCUCGCUUUGGCAGCACGUAUACUAAAAUUGGGACGAUACAGAGAAGAUUAGCAUGGCCCCUGCACAAGGAUGACAUGCAAAUUCGUGAAGCAUUCCAUACUUUU
ensembl:snRNA U6 U6 spliceosomal RNA